UACGUAGGGGGCUAGCGUUGUCCGGAUUUAUUGGGCGUAAAGAGCGUGUAGGCGGCUUUGCAAGUCCGUUGUGAAAACUCGAGGCUCAACCUCGAGACGCCGGUGGAAACCGCAAAGCUAGAGUCCGGAAGAGGAGAGUGGAAUUCCUGGUGUAGCGGUGAAAUGCGCAGAUAUCAGGAAGAACACCCGUGGCGAAGGCGGCUCUCUGGGACGGUACUGACGCUGAGACGCGAAAGCGUGGGGAGCGAACAGG
rnacentral:rRNA from 1 species